GAUGAACGCUGGCGGCGUGCCUAAUACAUGCAAGUCGAGCGAACGGACGAGAAGCUUGCUUUUCUGAUGUUAGCGGCGGACGGGUGAGUAACACGUGGAUAACCUACCUAUAAGACUGGGAUAACUUCGGGAAACCGGGGCUAAUACCGGAUAAUAUUUUGAACCGCAUGGUUCAAAAGUGAAAGACGGUCUUGCUGUCACUUAUAGAUGGAUCCGCGCUGCAUUAGCUAGUUGGUAAGGUAACGGCUUACCAAGGCAACGAUGCAUAGCCGACCUGAGAGGGUGAUCGGCCACACUGGAACUGAGACACGGUCCAGACUCCUACGGGAGGCAGCAGUAGGGAAUCUUCCGCAAUGGGCGAAAGCCUGACGGAGCAACGCCGCGUGAGUGAUGAAGGUCUUCGGAUCGUAAAACUCUGUUAUUAGGGAAGAACAUAUGUGUAAGUAACUGUGCACAUCUUGACGGUACCUAAUCAGAAAGCCACGGCUAACUACGUGCCAGCAGCCGCGGUAAUACGUAGGUGGCAAGCGUUAUCCGGAAUUAUUGGGCGUAAAGCGCGCGUAGGCGGUUUUUUAAGUCUGAUGUGAAAGCCCACGGCUCAACCGUGGAGGGUCAUUGGAAACUGGAAAACUUGAGUGCAGAAGAGGAAAGUGGAAUUCCAUGUGUAGCGGUGAAAUGCGCAGAGAUAUGGAGGAACACCAGUGGCGAAGGCGACUUUCUGGUCUGUAACUGACGCUGAUGUGCGAAAGCGUGGGGAUCAAACAGGAUUAGAUACCCUGGUAGUCCACGCCGUAAACGAUGAGUGCUAAGUGUUAGGGGGUUUCCGCCCCUUAGUGCUGCAGCUAACGCAUUAAGCACUCCGCCUGGGGAGUACGACCGCAAGGUUGAAACUCAAAGGAAUUGACGGGGACCCGCACAAGCGGUGGAGCAUGUGGUUUAAUUCGAAGCAACGCGAAGAACCUUACCAAAUCUUGACAUCCUUUGACAACUCUAGAGAUAGAGCCUUCCCCUUCGGGGGACAAAGUGACAGGUGGUGCAUGGUUGUCGUCAGCUCGUGUCGUGAGAUGUUGGGUUAAGUCCCGCAACGAGCGCAACCCUUAAGCUUAGUUGCCAUCAUUAAGUUGGGCACUCUAAGUUGACUGCCGGUGACAAACCGGAGGAAGGUGGGGAUGACGUCAAAUCAUCAUGCCCCUUAUGAUUUGGGCUACACACGUGCUACAAUGGACAAUACAAAGGGCAGCGAAACCGCGAGGUCAAGCAAAUCCCAUAAAGUUGUUCUCAGUUCGGAUUGUAGUCUGCAACUCGACUACAUGAAGCUGGAAUCGCUAGUAAUCGUAGAUCAGCAUGCUACGGUGAAUACGUUCCCGGGUCU
rnacentral:rRNA from 1 species